CAAUAGCGUAUAUUAAAGUUGUUGCAGUUAAAAAGCUCGUAGUUGGAUUUCUGACGUCUUUUUUCUUCCUUUCUUGUUCACAAAUUGUGGCUGUUAGGUUUGAUUGGACGUCUUCCUUCCCUGUUAAUUUGGUUUUCAAGCAUUAACUUGUUUGUGGAUCAAAUGGGGAUCAUUUACUGUGAAAAAAUUAGAGUGUUCAAAGCAAGUAUUUAAUUUCUUGAAUACAUUAGCAUGGAAUAAUAAGAUAGGACUUUGGUUAUAUUUUGUUGGUUUGCAAACUGAGGUAAUGAUUAAUAGGAACAUAUUGGGGAUAUCUGUAUUUUUUAGUCAGAGGUGAAAUUCUUGGAUUUAAGAAAGACAAACUACAGCGAAAGCAUUUAUCAAGGAUGUUUUCAUUGA
rnacentral:rRNA from 1 species